rnacentral:rRNA from 1 species
GAUGAACGCUGGCGGCGUGCCUAAUACAUGCAAGUCGAGCGAACAGACGAGGAGCUUGCUCCUCUGACGUUAGCGGCGGACGGGUGAGUAACACGUGGAUAACCUACCUAUAAGACUGGGAUAACUUCGGGAAACCGGAGCUAAUACCGGAUAAUAUAUUGAACCGCAUGGUUCAAUAGUGAAAGACGGUUUUGCUGGCACUUAUAGAUGGAUCCGCGCCGCAUUAGCUAGUUGGUAAGGUAACGGCUUACCAAGGCAACGAUGCGUAGCCGACCGGAGAGGGGGAUCGGCCACACUGGAACUGAGACACGGUCCAGACUCCUACGGGAGGCAGCAGUAGGGAAUCUUCCGCAAUGGGCGAAAGCCUGACGGAGCAACGCCGCGUGAGUGAUGAAGGUCUUCGGAUCGUAAAACUCUGUUAUUAGGGAAGAACAAAUGUGUAAGUAACUAUGCACGUCUUGACGGUACCUAAUCAGAAAGCCACGGCUAACUACGUG